GACAGAGGGUGCAAACGUUGUUCGGAAUUACUGGGCGUAAAGCGCGUGUAGGCGGCUAAGUAAGUCGGGCGUGAAAUCCCACGGCUCAACCGUGGAAGUGCACUCGAAACUGCAUAGCUAGAGUCCUGGAGAGGAAGGUGGAAUGCUUGGUGUAGAGGUGAAAUUCGUAGAUAUUAGGAAGAACACCAGUGGCGAAGGCGGCUCACUGGCCCCGGUACUGACGCUGAGGCGCGAAAGCGUGGGGGAGCAAACAGGAUUAGAAACCCCUGGGUAG
rnacentral:rRNA from 1 species